rnacentral:lncRNA from 1 species
UAAAGAGAGAAAGCAAAGAUUUUCACGGUGAGAAAUGAGAAAUGAUGAGGAGAAGAGGUAACCUGUGGAGCCGAGACUUAAAGAGGGAAUAUGUUUCUGGAGUCAGCUGCAGCCGAGGUGUCUAAAAAUGAAAGAAAAAGGGGCACUCGAUAAACACAAUUUUUUAAAGUUCUCACAGAAUUCAUAGACCUCAAGUAACACCAGCAAACCCGUUUGAGAAAGACCAGCCCAGAUUGUAAGCCCUCGACUGAAGGCAGGGCAUAGUACUGGACUUCAUCCUCAGCACCUUGACCUGGU